rnacentral:rRNA from 1 species
AUGAUGGCCGUUCACAAGAACAUAGUGCGGCCCAUAGGCUAUUGUGCUGACACGCAAUGUCAAGCCAUGAAAUACAACGGAAAACUUGUUUUGGGAGAGGUCCGCGAAAGGUUGAUCUGUCUGGAGUAUGUGUCCAAUGGAACCCUUGAAGGACAUAUCGGUAAGUAUGGUGAAGUUGACUGGAACCAGCGUUAUCAAAUUCUAAAAGGAAUUUGUCAGGGUUUGCGUUAUCUUCAUGACGAAGUGCACGUUUUUCAUGGAGAUAUCAAACCAAGCAAUAUAUUAAUAGGGGAUAAUCUUGUGCCAAAAAUUUAUGACUUCGGUUUGUCCCGGUCCUUUGAAGGACAAACUUCAUGCAUUGCCGAAAACAUUCGCGGAACUCUAGGAUAUAUUGCACCCGAGACAUUUGAUGGUAUAUUGUCAUUUAAGGCUGACAUAUACAGUUUGGGAGUUGUGGUCACGGAGUUAUUGACCGGGAGCAGAGGGUACGCGGACAUUGAUGAUGUGAGAAAACUUUUCAAUCCACAUUUGGAUCAAAGUGUUGCCAUCGAUUUAUUUUGA